GACGAACGCUGGCGGCGUGCUUAACACAUGCAAGUCGAGCGGAAAGGCUCCUUCGGGGGUACUCGAGCGGCGAACGGGUGAGUAACACGUGAGUAAUCUGCCCUGUGCUCUGGGAUAGCCACCGGAAACGGUGAUUAAUACCGGAUAUGACCGCUACACGCAUGUGUUGGUGGUGGAAAGUUUUUCGGCACAGGAUGUGCCCGCGGCCUAUCAGCUUGUUGGUGAGGUAAUGGCUCACCAAGGCUUUGCCGGGUAGCCGGCCUGAGAGGGUGACCGGUCACACUGGGACUGAGACACGGCCCAGACUCCUACGGGAGGCAGCAGUGGGGAAUAUUGGACAAUAGGCGGAAGCCUGAUCCAGCAACGCCGCGUGAGGGAUGACGGCCUUCGGGUUGUAAACCUCUUUCAGUACCGACGAAGCGAGAGUGACGGUAGGUACAGAAGAAGGACCGGCCAACUACGUGCCAGCCGCCGCAGUAAGAC
rnacentral:rRNA from 1 species